rnacentral:rRNA from 1 species
GUUGUUGGGUAGGGGAGCGUUCUGUAAGCCGUUGAAGGUGGCCUGUGAGGGUUGCUGGAGGUAUCAGAAGUGCGAAUGCUGACAUAAGUAACGAUAAUGCGGGUGAAAAACCCGCACGCCGGAAGACCAAGGGUUCCUGUCCAACGUUAAUCGGGGCAGGGUGAGUCGACCCCUAAGGCGAGGCCGAAAGGCGUAGUCGAUGGGAAACAGGUUAAUAUUCCUGUACUCGGUGUUACUGCGAAGGGGGGACGGAGAAGGCUAUGUUGGCCGGGCGACGGUUGUCCCGGUUUAAGCAUGUAGGCGGAUGUUCCAGGUAAAUCCGGAACGUUAUUAACGCUGAGGUGUGAUGACGAGGCACUACGGUGCUGAAGUGACAAAUGCCCUGCUUCCAGGAAAAGCCUCUAAGCAUCAGGUAACAUCAAAUCGUACCCCAAACCGACACAGGUGGUCAGGUAGAGAAUACCAAGGCGCUUGAGAGAACUCGGGUGAAGGAACUAGGCAAAAUGGUGCCGUAACUUCGGGAGAAGGCACGCUGAUGGUAAGUGAAGUGACUUGCUCAUGGAGCUGAAAUCAGUCGAAGAUACCAGCUGGCUGCAACUGUUUAUUAAAAACACAGCAC